AAGGCCUUAAGUUAAAACAAACUAAUAACCUUCAAAGCUAUAAAUAAAGGGUUCCCUUUAGGCCUUG
rnacentral:tRNA from 1 species